UUGAUUCUCCUUUGCAGUUUCUCAUGAGCUUGCUUUUUUGACUUGACAGAAAAUUAAGAACCCCAAUUAUAAAGGAAAAUGGAAGACUCCUUGGAUUGAUAAUCCAGAGUCUGAAGAUGACCCUGAUGUUUAUGUGCUUAAGCCAAUUAAGUAUGUAGGAAUUGAGGUUUGGCAGGUAAAGGGUGGGUCAGUUUACGACAAUGUUUUGAUCUGUGAUGACCCAGAUUAUGCAACACAAGUUGUGGAAGAAGUAUUUGCAAACAGGGAGAUUGAAAAAGAGGCCUUUGAGGAAGCAGAGAAAGUGAGAAAA